UAUUACUUUUCCAUAUUAAUGUAUUCAGUUCAGGCUUAUUGAGUGACUCCAUUUCCAGUCUAAACCACCAUUCUUUCCUCGUUGCUUUUUUGGUUAAUAAAUUAACAUGGUAUACCCUGCUGGCUUUGUAAUGUAUUUUUACCUCUGAUAAACCCCAUUUCCCAGACAUCCCAGACCUAUCCAAAGUUUUUUCCCCUUCCAUAUAAAAUUUCUAAAACUUCUUUGGAUAAGGUCCAACCAACCCUCAGGUAUACUUAGUGGUACCAUUUUUUAAAAAAAUAUGUCCAUAUAGGCAGAAUAUAAGCAUUUACUAUAUUAAUUCUGCUUAGCCAGUUUGUCAUCACAUUACCC